AUUGAACGCUGGCGGCAGGCCUAACACAUGCAAGUCGAGCGAGCGGCGGACGGGUGAGUAAUGUCUGGGAAACUGCCUGAUGGAGGGGGCUAACUACUGGAAACGGUAGCUAAUACCGCAUACCAUUCGACGUGCCCAGUUUGGACUAGCUAGUAGGUGGGGUAACGGCCAACCUAGGCGACGAUCCCUAGCUGGUCUGAGAGGAUGACCAGCCACACUGGAACUGAGACACGGUCCAGAAUCCUACGGGAGGCAGCAGUGGGGAAUAUUGCACAAUGGGCGCAAGCCUGAUGCAGCCAUGCCGCGGGUGUGAAGAAGGCCUUCGGGUUGUAAAGCACUUUCAGCGGGGAGGCGUUACCCACAGAAGAAGCACCGGCUAACUCCGUGCCAGCAGCCGCGGUAAUAC
rnacentral:rRNA from 1 species